GUGGAUUAGAUACCCGGGUAGUCCACGCCCUAAACGAUGAAUACUCGAUGUUGGCGAUAUACGGUCAGCGUCUAAGCGAAAGCGUUAAGUAUUCCACCUGGGGAGUACGCCCGCAAGGGUGAAACUCAAAGGAAUUGACGGGGGCCCGCACAAGCGGAGGAGCAUGUGGUUUAAUUCGAUGAUACGCGAGGAACCUUACCCGGGCUUGAAAGUUAGUGAAUAGAGCAGAGACGCUCUAGUCCUUCGGGACACGAAACUAGGUGCUGCACGGCCGUCGACAGCU
rnacentral:rRNA from 1 species